ACACCAGACUCCUACGGGAGGCAGCAGUGGGGAAUAUUGCACAAUGGGGGGAACCCUGAUGCAGCGACGCCGCGUGAGCGAUGAAGUAUUUCGGUAUGUAAAGCUCUAUCAGCAGGGAAGAAAAUGACGGUACCUGACUAAGAAGCCCCGGCUAACUACGUGCCAGCAGCCGCGGUAAUACGUAGGGAGCGAGCGUUGUCCGGAAUUACUGGGUGUAAAGGGAGCGUAGGCGGGAUUGCAAGUUGGAUGUGAAAACUGCGGGCUCAACCCGGAGCGUGCAUUCAAAACUGCGAUUCUUGAGUGAAGUAGAGGCAAGCGGAAUUCCUAGUGUAGCGGUGAAAUGCGUAGAUAUUAGGAGGAACACCAGUGGCGAAGGCGGUCUGCUGGACAGCAACUGACGCUGAGGCGCGAAAGCGUGGGGAGCAAACAGGAUUAGAUACCCCUGUAA
rnacentral:rRNA from 1 species